UACGUAGGCAGCAAGCGUUGUUCGGAGUUACUGGGCGUAAAGAGUGCGUAGGCGGUUUCGUAAGUUUGGUGUGAAAUCUCCCGGCUUAACUGGGAGGGAGCGCCGAAAACUGCGGGACUGGAGUGUGGGAUAGGUAAGCGGAAUUCCUGGUGUAGCGGUGAAAUGCGUAGAUAUCAGGAGGAACACCAGCGGUGUAGACGGCUUACUGGACCACGACUGACGCUGAGGCACGAAAGCGUGGGGAGCAAACAG
rnacentral:rRNA from 1 species